UAGCCUUGACAUAUUUUAGAACUCCGCAGAGAUGCAGAGGUGCCUUCGGGAGCUAAUAUACAGGUGCUGCACGGCUGUCGUCAGCUCGUGUCGUGAGAUGUUGGGUUAAGUCCCGCAACGAGCGCAACCCUCGUCACUAGUUACUAACGGUUCGGCCGAGGACUCUAGUGAGACUGCCUUCGUAAGGAGGAGGAAGGUGAGGACGACGUCAAGUCAUCAUGGCCCUUACGGCUAGGGCAACACACGUGCUACAAUGGGCAGGACAAUGAGACGCGAUACCGCGAGGUGGAGCAAAUCUAUAAACCUGUUCUCAGUUCGGAUUGUAGUCUGCAACUCGACUACAUGAAGCUGGAAUCACUAGUAAUCGUAGAUCAGCUAUGCUACGGUGAAUACGUUCCCGGGUCU
rnacentral:rRNA from 1 species